AACGAACGCUGGCGGCAUGCCUAACACAUGCAAGUCGAACGAGACCUUCGGGUCUAGUGGCGCACGGGUGCGUAACGCGUGGGAACCUGCCCUUAGGUUCGGAAUAACUCCCCGAAAGGGGUGCUAAUACCGGUUAAUGUCUUCGGACCAAAGAUUUAUCGCCUUUGGAUGGGCCCGCGUUGGAUUAGCUAGUUGGUAGUGUAAAAGCCUGCCAAGGCGACGUUCCAUAGCUGGUCUGAGAGGAUGAUCAGCCACACUGGGACUGAGACACGGACCAGACUCCUACGGGAGGCAGCAGUGGGGAAUAUUAGACAAUGGGCGAAAGCCUGAUCCAGCAAUGCCGCGUGAGUGAUGAAGGCCUUAGGGUUGUAAAGCUCUUUUACCCGGGAUGAUAAUGACAGUACCGGGAGAAUAAGCUCCGGCUAACUCCGUG
rnacentral:rRNA from 1 species